rnacentral:rRNA from 1 species
UAAUACAUGCAAGUAGAACGCUGAAGGAGGAGCUUGCUUCUCCNGGAUGAGUUGCGAACGGGUGAGUAACGCGUAGGUAACCUACCUGGUAGCGGGGGAUAACUAUUGGAAACGAUAGCUAAUACCGCAUAACAGUAGAUAUUGCAUGAUAUCUGCUUGAAAGGUGCAAUUGCAUCACUACCAGAUGGACCUGCGUUGUAUUAGCUAGUUGGUGGGGUAACGGCUCACCAAGGCGACGAUACAUAGCCGACCUGAGAGGGUGAUCGGCCACACUGGGACUGAGACACGGCCCAGACUCCUACGGGAGGCAGCAGUAGGGAAUCUUCGGCAAUGGACGGAAGUCUGACCGAGCAACGCCGCGUGAGUGAAGAAGGUUUCGGAUCGUAAAGCUCUGUUGUAAGAGAAGAACGAGUGUGAGAGUGGAACGUUCACACUGUGACGGUAUCUUACCAGAAAGGGACGGCUAACUACGUGCCAGCAGGCGCGGUAAUACGUAGGUCCCGAGCGUUGUCCGGAUUUAUUGGGCGUAAAGCGAGCGC